rnacentral:rRNA from 1 species
UGUCGUCAGCUCGUGUCGUGAGAUGUUGGGUUAAGUCCCGUAACGAGCGCAACCCUGUCCUUAGUUACCAGCACGUUAUGUGGGCACUCUAAGGAGGACUGCCGGUGACAAACCGGAGGAAGGUGGGGAGUGACGUCAAGUCAUCAUGGCCCUUACGGCCUGGGCUACACACGUGCUACAAUGGUCGGUACAAAGGGUUGCCAAGCCGCGAGGUGGAGCUAAUCCCAUAAAACCGAUCGUAGUCCGGAUCGCAGUCUGCAACUCGACUGCGUGAAGUCGGAAUCGCUAGUAAUCAUGAAUCAGAAUGUCACGGUGAAUACGUUCCCGGGCCUU